AGCUUUAUAGUGUAAAUUAUACUGCACAAUAGACUGCAAGUCUAAAAGAGAAAGAAAACUUCUAAAGCUU
rnacentral:tRNA from 1 species